CAGUUCCCAAACCCACAAUCACUUAUACCUGCAACUCCAACAAAACCUCCUGCAUUCUAACCUCUGAAGGCAACGCCACUGGUGCUGAACGCGUCACCUACAGCUGGAAAGUGGGAGAGGGGGCGUGGGAGGUCAUAGGAAAACAGCUGAUUGUCUCUAAGAGCGACACUGGCAAAUCAACCAACAGUUACAAGUAUAUCUGCAAGCUGAAGAACUCUGUUAGUGGGGAAGUCAGUGAGCCAGUUGGAGAGGUGUUUGGUCCAGAGCCUUCUGAAAUUGGUGGUGGGGUUGUUGUUGGUGUUGUCUUUACCAUUGUAGCGCUUGUUGCCGUCAUAACAGUUUGGUUGGUGUGGAAGAAAAUUAAAGGUAGGAUGAUUCUCUGGCUCUU